ensembl:lncRNA
AGACGAAUCACCACAAUGCCAUUGGCCUCAAAGUUCAUGUCACAGCUGGAUCUUUAUGCUCCUAAACUGAUGAAAAUCUUUAGAAAGAAGGGAGGAAAACCUGGACGGAAGAUAACAGAAAUCAUGACAGGAAUUAAUGAGAGAGACUCCAUUGACCAAAGAAGAUGUUGUACCCUGAAGGCCCUUUCUGUUUAUCUGAAUGAAGAUCCAAGCAACAUGAUAAAAGAAUAUGUAAAUAUUGAUUUCCUUAAUGCCCAGCAACAAAUGCCAAAGACCUCUAUUGGCAUUUAUGCCAUCCUGCAUGAAGGGGAUGAUGGCGG